GACGAACGCUGGCGGCGUGCCUAAUACAUGCAAGUCGAACGAGAGCGACCGGUGCUUGCACUGGUCAAUCUAGUGGCGAACGGGUGAGUAACACGUGGGUAACCUGCCCAUCAGAGGGGGAUAACAUCCGGAAACGGAUGCUAAAACCGCAUAGGUCUUCGAACCGCAUGGUUUGAAGAGGAAAAGAGGCGCAAGCUUCUGCUGAUGGAUGGACCCGCGGUGCAUUAGCUAGUUGGUGAGGUAACGGCUCACCAAGGCCGUGAUGCAUAGCCGACCUGAGAGGGUGAUCGGCCACAUUGGGACUGAGACACGGCCCAAACUCCUACGGGAGGCAGCAGUAGGAAAUCUUCCGCAAUGGACGCAAGUCUGACGGAGCAACGCCGCGUGAGUGAAGAAGGUUUUCGGAUCGUAAAACUCCGUUGUUAGAGAAGAACAAGUGCUAGAGUAACUGUUAGCGCCUUGACGGUAUCUAACCAGAAAGCCACGGCUAACUACGUG
rnacentral:rRNA from 1 species